AUUGAACGCUGGCGGCAGGCCUAACACAUGCAAGUCGAGCGAGCGGCGGACGGGUGAGUAAUGUCCGGGAAACUGCCUGCUGGAGGGGGAUAACUACUGGAAACGGUAGCUAAUACCGCAUACCAUCAGAUGUGCCCAGAUGGGAUUAGCUAGUAGGUGGGGUAACGGCUCACCUAGGCAACGAUCCCUAGCUGGUCUGAGAGGAUGACCAGCGACCUGGGAACUGAAACACGGGCCAGACUCCUACGGAGGGCAGCAGUGGGGAAUAUUGCACAAUGGGGGCAAGCCUGAUGCAGCCAUGCCGCGUGUAUGAAGAAGGCCUUCGGGUUGUAAAGGACUUUCAGCAGGGAGGCGUUACCCGAAGAAGAAGCACCGGCGAACUCCGUGCCAGCAGCCGCGGUAAUAC
rnacentral:rRNA from 1 species